UACAGAGGUGGCAAGCGUUGUUCGGAAUUACUGGGCGUAAAGGGCGCGUAGGCGGUUCGAUAAGUCCCGUGUGAAAGCCCCGGGCUCAACCCGGGAACUGCGUCCGAAACCGUCUCGCUUGAGUAUGAGAGAGGAAAGCGGAAUUCCUGGUGUAGAGGUGAAAUUCGUAGAUAUCAGGAGGAACACCGGCGGCGAAGGCGGCUUUCUGGCUCAUUACUGACGUUCAGGUACGAAAGCGUGGGUAGCAAACAGG
rnacentral:rRNA from 1 species